rnacentral:rRNA from 1 species
GACGAACGCUGGCGGCGUGCCUAACACAUGCAAGUCGAACGAGAGCGCCCGGUCCUUGCUGUGGGCAAUCGAGGGGCGGACGGGGGAUUAACACGUGGGUAACCUGCUCAUCAGAGGGGGAUAACAUCCGGAAACGGAUGAUAAAACCGCAUAGGUCUUCGAGCCGCAUGGCUUGAAGGGGAUAAGAGGCGCAGGCUUCUGCUGGUGGAUGGACCGGCGGUGCAUUAGCUAGUUGGUGGGGGAACGGCUCACCAAGGCCGUGAUGCAUAGCCGACCUGAGAGGGUGAUCGGCCACAAUGGGACUGAGACACGGCCCAAACUCCUACGGGAGGCAGCAGUAGGGAAUAUUCCGCAAUGGACGCAAGUCUGACGGAGCAACGCCGCGUGAGUGAAGAAGGUCUUCGGAUCGUAAAGCUCUGUUGUCAGGAAAGAACAAGUGCUAGAGUAACUGUUAGCGGCUUGACGGUACCUGAACAAAAAGCCCCGGCUAACUACGUG